AUAAAACCUCAGAGUGUGGAAUAAAUGUUUAAAUGAUGCUGUAGGUUGCUUAAAUAAAUGAAUAGAGGAAAGAGGAGGGCUGGGUAGGGCUAAGCUUGACAGGGCAUGCACGAAAUUGGGUAAGGUUACAGGUUGCGUAAAUAAAACCUCUGAGUGUGGAAUAAAUAUCUAAAUGAUGUUGUAGGUUGCUUAAAUAAAUGAAUAGAGGAAAGAGGAGGACUGGGUAGGGCUAAGCUUGACAGGGCAUGCACAAAAUUGGGUAAGGUUACAGGUUGUAUAAAUAAAAGACCUCUGAGUGUGAAAUAAAUGUUUUAAUGUUGCUAUUGAUUGUAUAGGCGGAUGGAUCCCUUCCCGCGGCGUGGUGGUGGUGGGUGGGGACAAUAUACAAACACCUCCAUAGGCAAGUUUAGCCAGGAAGGAUGAGAUGAACAGGUUUUAAUGAGGCGAUAACUUAACUAAUCGUAUUCUGCCAGAGAAGAAAAGAACCCAGGAGUGUGUGUGUGUGUGUGUGUGUGUGUGUGUGUGUGUGUGUGUGUGUAUAGGGAAGCUCUGGCUGGUUGUGUGUGGAGUAUUUCAAUUUAAAUUAAUGCUACUGAUAUCUAUAUACAAAUUCAGCCCUACCUUUCUUUAUGUGUGUGUGUGUGUGUGUGUGUGUGUGUGUGUGUGUGAGACCAAAACAGCAAAGCAGAGAGCACAACCCUCGACAAUAGUAAUAAAAUAGCUAUCUGUGUCCUAGUAAUUAGAUUUCCUAGUUCCGUCACCUCCUCCUCCUCCCCUCUACCUCCUCUUUUUUUUUAGGAGGUAAUGUAAUGUGACAAUUUUUCUCCCUAUCAACUUCUCUUCCAUGAUUCCUUGUAUAAGUUUCCCAAUUUUUCUUUUAUAUUCUCUGAUUUGUUUCAUCAUUUCCUCCCAAUUCCUUCUCUCCAAAAUAUGUGUGUGUGUGUGUGUGUGUGUGUGUGUGUGUG